ACAGCCUGGAGACCAUCUCUCUCACCCCUGGCUCAGAGAAGAGAGACUCCCAGGCCCGCCCUGUCCCAGCCCCUCGGCCAAGCGUCCCAGGAGGAACAGCCGCAGGCACAUCUCACGUCACUGCACAGCCAUCCGUGGGGCGGAGCUGCUGCCACCAGCGCUGCUCCAACACACCCAGGGCCCCUGGUCUCCAGCCACGACCACUCCACCAUCUGCAGCUCGAGCCUGCUGUCCGGAUGGGCCGUCCCAGAUCCGCAUCCCUCGCCCUCCAUCGCCCCUCCUCCAGGUCCAGUUCCGGCUUUGGCACCAGCUGGACGACGGACCAGAUCCAGGUCAGAUCUGAGCCGCGCUGGGCGGCCCAGCAAGGUGUGUCCCCGAAGGGCGAGGAGGCGCCGUGUCCCUGAAAACACCUCUGCAGUUCAACCAGGAUGCCCUGUCUCCCUGCGGCCAGGCUCCAGAGAGCAUCACCACGCGCGCGCUGUCCCUGGGACCCUUCCCAGCUCUUUCACAACCGGCCCCUCCCCACCUGCUUCUUUUUAAAAAGGGGGAAGGAAGGAAGGGUGGUGGGGAAUAAAAACAGAGACAAGAAGAAAGCGCCAGCCCAUGCUUGACUCCUGCUUGGGGGCCUCAGAGCAGAGCCAAGGGCCAACCGCCCCCUGAGACCUGCCUGAUGUGGGACGUUGGGGCCUGUACGCAGUGAGAGGUGCUGACCCUCCUGCUGAGUUUAAGGCUGUCCUGGGUGGUUGUUGGGACACCCCGGGCAUUGCAGCCACACAUGUGGAGCCAAAGCCUGGCCACAAGCAUUAGGGGCCGGGGCCUCUCACCACUCAUCGUGCCAGCUUGACAUAAUGGCCCCAGCCCUGGUGUUACCUCCUCAGCACGCCUUCGCUGUGACUGUCGGUGAGGGGGCUGGGCAGGGAUCUUCCUGCUGCUUCUGUCCCACCAUCACCCAGUCCCCCUCCCAACACAUCCUGGGCCACCAGCCUUCCGCACCCGGGACCCCGAGGUUCAGCUGCCUGAAUGGACUUGCUUCCCACCCAGCAGAAACUCAAACUGAUACUCUCCCAUCUGCUGACCAUUCACCACUUAUCCGUCCACUUUCCAGCUUCGCAACGUUCUUAACGUCUCUCAUGCGCCAAUGUCUCUCUUCCUUUCUUCUGUCCUCACCAGUCCUCACUUAGCAGGAUUUCAGAAGGGGCAGCGCAGUCCUGCAUCUUUAACCACAAGUCCUCUGUCAACAGGGACAGCUCCAGAAUUUCUACAGAGGAUGGUCUGAGGGCAGCAGUCAGGGCAGGGAAGGAGGUUGCCUAGGGAUAUGGUCCUAAAGCAGCUUUUGCUCAGCAAGUGCACCUUUUUUUUUUUUU